rnacentral:lncRNA from 1 species
AAGUUUAGGUGCCAGUGUUGUCGGGUAGAUUGCAUUAGGCGAUCCGACUUGUAUGUGAUGUGCUUUUGCACCAGUUUUCACGUGAUCGUAGUACUAGAGCAUAUUGAUUACACCCAGUCCUGUUCGUGUCAGAAACCAUCUGUUCGAACUUGUGUGUCAGCUUAGAUGGAUGAGCACUUAGUUAUAUUGAUUAUCACAUGAUUAUUAUUGUGGCAUAUGAUACAUCAUUUACUUGGCAUAUUUCUGGUUAUAUGGUUGAUAUAUUGGAUUUCAUACUUACGUAGUAUGUUUUGAGGAAACUAUACUUGUUUUACGGCGAGGGGUUAGUAU